rfam:Camelus ferus unplaced genomic scaffold scaffold522, whole genome shotgun sequence.
GAGGGUAUAGCGCAAAGUGGUAGAGCACAUGCUUAGUAUGUAUGAGAUCUUGAGUUCAAUCCCCAGUACCUCCU